rnacentral:rRNA from 1 species
CUGAUGCAGCGACGCCGCGUGAGGGAUGACGGCCUUCGGGUUGUAAACCUCUGUUAGCAGGGAAGAAGAGAGAUUGACGGUACCUGCAGAGAAAGCGCCGGCUAACUACGUGCCAGCAGCCGCGGUAAUACGUAGGGCGCGAGCGUUGUCCGGAAUUAUUGGGCGUAAAGAGCUUGUAGGCGGUUUGUCGCGUCUGCUGUGAAAGGCCGGAGCUUAACUCCGUGUAUUGCAGUGGGUACGGGCAGACUAGAGUGCAGUAGGGGAGACUGGAAUUCCUGGUGUAGCGGUGGAAUGCGCAGAUAUCAGGAGGAACACCGAUGGCGAAGGCAGGUCUCUGGGCUGUAACUGACGCUGAGAAGCGAAAGCAUGGGGAGCGAACAGGAUUAGAUACCCUGGUAGUCCAUGCCGUAAACGUUGGGCACUAGGUGUGGGGAACAUUCCACGUUUUCCGCGCCGUAGCUAACGCAUUAAGUGCCCCGCCUGGGGAGUACGGCCGCAAGGCUAAAACUCAAAGAAAUUGACGGGGGCCCGCACAAGCGGCGGAGCAUGCGGAUUAAUUCGAUGCAACGCGAAGAACCUUACCAAGGCUUGACAUAUACUGGAUCGCAUCAGAGAUG